AUUGAACGCUAGCGGGAUGCCUUACACAUGCAAGUCGAACGGAGUGGCGAACGGGUGAGUAAUGUAUCGGAACGUGCCCAGUAGCGGGGGAUAACUAAGCGAAAGCGUAGCUAAUACCGCAUACUAUUGGAGCGGCCGAUAUCGGAUUAGCUAGUUGGUGGGGUAACGGCGCACCAAGGCGACGAUCCGUAGCUGGUUUGAGAGGACGACCAGCCAAACUAGGACUGAGACACGGACCAGACACAUGAGUGAGGCAGCAGUGGGGAAUGUUGGGCAAUGGGGGAAACCCUGAUCCAGCCAUCCCGCGUGUGAGAUGAAGGCCUUCGGGUUGUAAAGCACUUUUGGCAGGAAAGCGGUACCUGCAGAAUAAGCACCGGCUAACUACGUGCCAGCAGCCGCGGUAAUUC
rnacentral:rRNA from 1 species